UGGGGAAUCUUGGACAAUGGGCGCAAGCCUGAUCCAGCCAUGCCGCGUGGAUGAUGAAGGCCUUAGGGUUGUAAAAUCCUUUCGUUGGGGACGAUAAUGACGGUACCCAAAGAAGAAGCUCCGGCUAACUUCGUGCCAGCAGCCGCGGUAAUACGUAGGGUGCGAGCGUUAAUCGGAAUUACUGGGCGUAAAGCGUGCGCAGGCGGCUUUGCAAGACAGAUGUGAAAUCCCCGGGCUCAACCUGGGAACUGCAUUUGUGACUGCAAGGCUAGAGUACGGUAGAGGGGGGAUGGAAUUCCGCGUGUAGCAGUGAAAUGCGUAGAUAUGCGGAGGAACACCGAUGGCGAAGGCAAUCCCCUGGACCUGUACUGACGCUCAUGCACGAAAGCGUGGGGAGCAAACAGGAUUAGAUACCCCAGUAGUCCCUGAGCGGGCUGGCAAGGCGCAU
rnacentral:rRNA from 1 species